GAGUCGUUGCCCGAGUGGUUAAUGGGGGUGGAUUGUAAAUCCACUAGCUAAGCUUGCGCUGGUUCGAAUCCAGCACGCCUCA
rfam:Genlisea aurea contig_557, whole genome shotgun sequence.